UUUGUUUUCCAAACUUACUCUAGUUGGGUAAAGCCUUUUCCCCUAGAAAUUAGUCUGUCUUUCCGCAAGAGAAAAAAUAAAGUGAGUGUUUCCAUCAGGGUGUGAAAUUUUCUACAAAACAAUUUUCUAAGAACUGGAAGCUUAUAAAGAUGCACACGAUAUUUCAUUUUUUAACAUAUACAUUAAACAUGAUUGCAAUUAUUCUGAAUUUUAAACACUCCAGACAAGUCUUUGGUUCCUAAAAUCUUUCAAAUGACAUUAAAAAAUAAAUGCU
rnacentral:lncRNA from 1 species